GAGCAAUGAUGAAAAGCUUUUACUACUGACCAUUAUAACUAUGACAGUUUUUACACUUGAUCCGAGCUCA
ensembl:snoRNA